AUAUUCCACUGUUGAGAAUUCUCUGUUUAGCUUUGUACUCCAUUUUAAAAAUUAGAUUAUUUGGUUUAUUUGUUUCUAAGUUCUUUUGUUCUUUCUAUACUUUGGAUAUUACUUCCCCAUCUGUUUUUAUUAAUUUUAGUUGGAAAUUUGGGUUUUUUUGGUUUGUUCUUGUUUUUGUUUUUUGUUUGUUUGUUUGUAUGGGAUUUUUUAUUUUAUUUUUUGAUAUUAGAAUGCCUACUUCAGCUUGCUUCUUGGGUCUGAUUGCUUAGAUAAACUUUUUUCCAGCCUUUACUCUGAUGUAAUAUCAAUUUUUCUUUUGCUGAAGUGUAUUUUUUUAUAUAAAUCAGAAGGACUGAUUUUAUUUUGCCAUCCUUUCUGUUAGCCUGUGUCUAUUUAUUGGAGAAUUGAGUCCAACUGUGUUAAAAGACUAUUAAUUACUAAUGAUUGCUAAAUCCUGUUAUUUUGUUGGUGGUGGCCAUAGUGUGUGUGUGUGUGUGUGUGUGUGUGUGUGUGUGUGUGUGUGUUUGUGUGUUCUUACAUUCUUUAGUUUUGCUGGCAUGAGGUUAUUAAUUUCCUGUGUUUUCAUGGGUAUAGUUUGCUUCCUUUUAUUGGAAUUUUCCUUCUAAUAUCUUUUGUAGGGCUGUAUUAUAUGAAUAGGUAUUGUUUAAAUUUGAUUUUGUUGUGAAAAAACCUGUUUUCUUCCUACAUGGAGGUUAAAGUUUUGCUGAUUAUAGUAGUCUGCGCUGAUAUCUGUGUGAGCUUAGAGUCUGUGAAGUAUCUGUUCUGUCCUUUCUGGCUUUAUAGAGUCUUUCCUGAGAAGCCCAGUCUAAUUGUAAUAGGUCUGCAUUUAUAAGUCACCUGAUCUUUGCCCCUUUCAGCUUUCAAUAUUCUUUCUCUGUUCUGUACAUUUAUUAUUUAUGGAGUGGGAGGAUUUUGUCCUCUGAUCUAGUCUAUUGGGUGGUCUGUAAAAAUUCUUAUAUGUUUACAGGCAUCUCUGACUUUAGGAUUGAUGUUUUCUUCUAUUACUCUGUUGAAAAUAUUUUCUGGGCUUUGAAGGUGGGAGUCUUCUAUUCCUAUAUUCUUAGAUUUGGCCUUUUCAUAAUGUCACAGAUUUCUUAGAUACGUUGCUUCAGGAGCUUGUGAGAUUUCACAUUUUCUUUGACUGAAGCAUUCGUUUCUUCAAUCCUAUCCUCUAAACCUGAGAUUCUUUCUUCCAACUCUGUAUUCUAUUUGUAGUCUGUAAUUCCUCUACACUUUCCUAGGUUUUUCAUCUCUAGCUUCCCUUCAAUUUAUGUUUUCUUUAUUUUUUUCUUUUAAUUUUCAAGUUUUAAAAGUUUUAUUCAUUUCCUUUACCUAUUUGAUUGCAUUUUCCUAUAUUUCAUUUCCUCUUUAAAUGCCUCUAUCAUAUUUGUAAGAUUGGGUUUACCGUCAUCUCCUUUGCUCUGUGCUAAAACAUUUGGGGCUAUCUGUGGUAAAAUAGCUGGACUUUGGCCUUCUGUCUGUUCCUCAUGCUGGCUUCAAGUUCCUGAUGCAACAGGACUCCUCAGGUAGGUAAGCAGAGGCUUGGGCUUGGCAAUGGAGCUCAGGGAAGAAGACUCUACUCACCUCUGGUAUCUGUUGCCUGAGUGGUACUGCAGAACUCCUGGGGAAGAAAGGUAGAGUUCUAGGCUUGAUGGUGGAGCUUUGGAGGCAGAGUUCAGCUUACAUUUGUUUUCUGUGCUUCAGGUGGACUGGGUAGGCAGAAGACUGGAUUGAGAGGCUCUAAACUGGAUUUUCCUCAGGAUUGACCGGCCUUCUGGUUAUAGGAAGGUGAUGGAGCUAUUGAGGAGCAAAUGGGAAGACAGCAUUCAGCUCACUGCUGAUGGUUGGGCCUCAGGUAGAACAGGAAGGAGAUAGGUAUCUGUAGGUUUGAAAAAGAUUAACUAGUUUAGAAUUAUCUACACCUGAAGGAAAGAAGAGAUACAAAGCUGGAACAACAGGACACUUGAUUUAGAAGACAAGUGAAAUGUACACCCACAUUUGCAAAUGAAGAAUAUUACAUGUCGGUAACUUGUAUUUCAAUUCUUUCACUAAGCAUAUUAUCUCUUCAUAUUCUACUCAUAUGGUAACAAAAAUGUUACUCGUCAGCCUUGAUGCAGUUUAAGGAAGAUUUUUUCAUAAUUAUUUAUUUUAUUUCUUUGUUCAUAUCAUGGAAUAUUUUGUAGUUCUUUAGUCUGUACCCACAGUUUGCCUCACACAAAAAUACUACAUAUAACCAUUACAAGCUAAGAUUUGCAUGUGAGGGGUUCUGAAAAAAGUGGUAUCUGGGAGCAGCAAAAAGAAAGACUCGAAGUCAAAUCAUGGUUCCAAGCUGAUGACCUGUGUUCUGCUUGAUACAGCUUUUCAAGUCUGCUUCUAUGUUCUGCUAUCUGUCUUAAGAUUUCUGUCUAUAUUCAGCUUGCUUGCUAUCCUAAGAAAUCUAUCCAUGUCCUGCUUGCUCAGAGAGAGAGAGAGAGAGAGAGAGAGAGAGAGACAGAGACAGAGACAGAGACAGAGACAGAGACAGAGAGACAGAAAGUUCUCCAAACAAUUCUUUCUUUUUAUCCUAAAAAAUUCUCUUGAUAGCACACCUCCUACAAAACAGAGGUCCAGUCUUUUAUUUUACAUAUUAACUAAGUCAUUUAUUUCAGGUUUUCCUUUGGAUUAUCUUAUGAAUUAGCAUCCCAUUAGCAGAGCCCAUGAGUUCUUAGGAGACAGUAAUCAUAUUUUUUUUCUUUUUUCUUAACAUUACUAAAGAAUUCAGAGAUCUGUCUGCCUUUGUUAAGCAUAAAUGAUAAGGUAGUUGGGUGGGAUCCUGCCCUGAAAUUACCAUUUCUACCAUGUCUGGGUCUAACCUUUUUCUGUCCUGGGAUGACCCUGAAUUCCUUCCUCCUUAGUAAUUUUCUAACAAGAUAGGUCAGAGUGCAGCUGCUUUUGUUCCUUUAGAUUAAUGAAACCUAUCAUACAAUUCCUAUUGUAUACUUAUUUUUGCAUAAUUGAGAAAUUAUAUAUUUUUGAACCUACGUGUUUAGAGCUAUUUCCCACAGCCUUAAGGGUCCUUCUGUAGGUUCCUUCACUUACCAUUUUCCUGAGACUUUAGGCACACCCUGACCUCUAGGACUCAUGCUGUUUUUAAUUAUCAUGGAGUCAGUAAUAUUGACAGAAAAAACAUUCCUAGGAGGAAUGUAAAAUAUUUACAUUAUUAUACAAGCAAGCCUUAUGUCCUCAGAGAAGCCAUCAACAUGAAUGGAGGCUCACUUGGAGGAGAGCGGGAAUAGAUGGGGCACAUGAACCCUGUCCCAGAAGCAGGAAUCAUGUCAUUCUGUCCCCAUCAGGACCACACCAGGCUUGGAUUAUGGAGCCAUAGCUACAAAGUUAAUAUAAUGUUUCCCUUUUCAGUCCAUUUUGAUAUAAACUCAGUAAGUGUAUCUUUCCUCAUACCUAAAUAAAAUUCAAUUGUAUAUAUGAACUAUGUUUUAAUUAUCGAUGUGAACCAUGCAUAAAGAUUAGCAUGACACUAUCAUUGUCUUCUCCAUGUUCAUCAGAUUAAUCUGUUUUAGAAAUAGUCUCUUACCAUUUAAGUUGUUCAAAGCCUACAAUGUCCAGAACAUCAGUCAUUUCUCAUUUUUUUCCUGCCAACCCAAUUAGCUACAUCUCUACAAUAAUUUGGGAUGGAAGAGUUCAUCUCUUACCUAAAUAAAAGUCUUGCCAAGUCUUACAGCUACCUAAAGUUAUUCUGUCUAAUUAAACUUUACUUUAAACACCAAACACAAGAAUGUAAUGAAAUACUGUAGCACCAGAGAGACAUUCUUCUUUAAUUGAUAGAAAAAGCUGUCAAAUGAUGAAAAGACAAAAACGAAAAUUUGCUAUCAAAUAAAUUUCAACAAAAGACCACUGCAGAGUUGAUCCCUGGAUUUAAGUAAAUAAUUGAACAGUUGAAUGACUGGGUACUUUUUAAAACUCACUAUGCUUGAGUUACUUAUUAAACAAAUGGAAUGAUAAAAUUGCCAUGGGCUUGUUUACAGAUCUAUUUGAUAUAUAAAGAAUUAAAAAGAAUAAGUGCAGCAACCUUAAAUCUUGAACAUACAAUUGAUAUUUUAAUCCAUUUUCCUUAAUAAUGAUUUUAUAGAAAGAAUAAUUUCAAGAAAAUGUCAGUUGUAAAAAUCUCUUGUUGUUAUUAAUGAAAAAAUACAUUUAGGUUCAACAGAUGAAGUCCUAGGUUUGAUAUUCUCUGUGUCUCUUAAGUAUUCAUAUCCAUGACUCAAGACAGACAAUGCAAUGCACCAAAUCUCUUUUUUAAAAACUAAUGGUAUUACCCAGAUGUAUAUAAUCUCAUUGCCAAGGACAAAAUUCACUAUAACUCAUUAAUGUCAGUCACAUAGUUAUUGGUCCCCAAAUGGAAAGUCCCUCUAUUAUUACUAUAUAGCUCUAUCAAUUCAAAUAUGAAAUUCAAGAAAUAAUAGAAAUGAUGAAAUAUAAAGUAUUGUAAUACAAAGACCCAUUUGUAUGUAGUUUAAAUUAACUUAAAAUCUUUAAUAGAAAGUCCCAUACCAUUAUUCUCAUUAUUAGUAAUUCACUGUGCCUGAAGAUGAAGAAAAAUCAUAACUUUAUUUUUAUUUUGAUUGGACACUAAAAAUAUUUUAAUAAAUAAAUUAACUCAUUCUGAGUUUUGCCAAGAACAUUUGGAAGCAGUAAGUACUAAAGUACAUUUGAAAUACUAUUAAUAACCUGAAAAUCAGAAGUAGAAAAAUACAUUGUAUUAAAGUAUAAAAGCAUAUUUGGUUUGUUGAAAGUGUUAUAAAUUAUGUAUGUUUUUAGAAGAACAAUGAAAGUAAAAUAGAAAUAUAACUCAUGAGACAUCACAUUUAAUUACUACUCCAUGUUCUGGAUGGAGAAGCAUUCUUGGCUCUUGAAAGUUAUUUACAGAAUAAUACUUGGCAAAUAUUUACACAAUAGGUCAAUGCAACAUCACUCUUUAGAUCUAUUAGAAUUAGUUAUUUGGGGCUUUUCAAAUCUUCGUUGUCAGGAAACCAAUAGUUCAAGUCUGCAUGAGACAGUGGGAGUCAAUAGAGCCAGUCAGAAAUCUGCCAUGACUCUUGCAAUGAAGUGAAGAUCAGCAAAGAUAUGAGGCCAGGGAAGCAUUGCAGGGCUAGCUACUCAAGGACCCUGUUACUGUCUGUUGGGAACUACGUAUAAGCUCUAUAAAUACCCUCUGUCCUCUCACAUGUCUGCUUCAGCAAAACAUCACAUGACAAUACUAGAAAUUGUCACUUCAUAGUAGUUUCUUUUCAUCUUUUCAAUUUUGAAAUUUACUUUAUUUAUCAAUAUAAAGUUGUUUGUUCACCAACUCUACUAGCCAAAUCUAUUAAGUAUUCAUUUCUCGUUUGACAAUAUGUAAAUCACAUAACAAUGUAACAUUAUCUAAAUAUUUACAAUAAAACCAGAGACAUGUCAAACAGUAAUUCAAUAAUUUUGCAAGUUAUACACAAAUGCUUACUAUACUAUCCAGUCUAAUAAUUGAUAACUGACAGCAUUGUGACAGGGCUUAAUAAUUAAUAAUUUGAGUGGAUUACUAAAAUUUGAAUUAUUGAUUUUAAGUCUAAUGUAGUUUUUGUAAUAUAGGGGAUUGAUCGAUUAUCACAAUUUUGUAUAUUAUAACAAUAACAUUACCAAUAACCAUCAAAUAUUUUCUGAGAACGUAUUUCAUUUAGCAUCCAAAUACAAAUGAUGAACAAUGUUUUAUAUAUGCAGUUUCUACAGUAAACAAAAGACGUAAACUUUACCUUUCUUUUAUAUCCUACUUCAAACUCCACUUCCUCAACAUGAGAACAUAGAAGCCAAUUUACCCUUUGAAUAUAUAAGUACGAUUUUUUUUCUUUCCCAUCUCCUGUUUAUGUCUCAGGCUCACUGUGCAAAAGGUACAUAAAUUACUGAUGCCAACCAAAUUAUGUGGUAAUUGGAAACCAGGGCAUAAAUUUUAAAAUAGGAUGAUGGCAGGUUGGAACAGAUGCUCUGAUAGCAAUACGAAGCAAGUAAUGGUUAUGGAUCAGUAGAAAGGCCAAUUUCUGUGGCAGUGAUGGCCUUAUUAAAGAGUCAACAUUUGAGCAAACCUCAAAUUAUGUAGCCGGGUCCAUUAGCAGAAAAUAAAAUGUAGAGGAAUACUAAACACUAAAUGAACUUGGUCCAUCUUAGGUACAGAAAAACAUCCCAAUUGUGGCAAGUAGUCUACAGAUAGAAGAGAUAGUACAGCAAAGAGCUCCUCUUGAUGGUUGCUAUACCUGAUUUUUAUUCACAUUUUUACCAAGCAGUCUUCAAACACUUCUUAAUAUUCUCCCCAUCCCUUAUACUUCCAGGCAUCUGCUUCAUUAAAAAUCAAGUCUGCUUUUAAUGGUUCUUAAAACUCCUUCAUAUAAAUUAAGAGCUUCUAUUUUAUUGGUCCAAUUACCCCUAAGGCCUAGUUGAGAAAUGAAAAGUCUAAAGUUAUUCUUGAAUUUCUCCAUCUUAGAGCUCCAAAAUUUAAUAAUACAUAAAUCAGUUUCCCUGAGUAGAUCAUUCCACACAGCACAAAUCUAGACAUAAAUAAUUUGUCAUUUUAAAAUAUAAUGUCCUGACCACAUGGAUUUUGAAGUUAGAUACUGUGAUAUUUGCUACUCCCAAAAGAGAGCUUUAGUUAUUUUUCUUUAAGAAUAUUCUCUGAACUUUUUAUGGCCUUUGUUGCCAUUUCUCCAAGGUUAGAUGCUUUUUUUCCCUUUUUUUCCGAGCUGGGGACCAAACCCAGGGCCUUGUGCUUGCUAGGCAAGUGCUCUACCACUGAGCUAAAUCCCCAACCCCCGAUUAGAUGCUUUCAAAUGAGACUUUUUAUACUAUGCUGCAUAAUGAAUAAAAUAUGUCAAUUCAUUCUGUUUCUUUCUUUAAUUAAAUGCUUAUCUGAUAAUUAUUGAACACAAUUUCUUUCCUGAAUAUUCUUAAAUACAAAGUUCUGGGGUUUCCUAAAUCAUUUAACCUUCCCAAUCAAAUAUUUUAGCCACUUACUAUAAUUCUGACUGUUUGAAGCUACAGAGGUACAAAUACAAAUAAAUUACUAAAAUCUCACUAUGAAAAAUAAAGAGACCCACUCUUCACUAGUUUUCCUUUAGUGUAUUUAAUCUACUUCAUGUGUGAAUGUAAGUUUUUCCUGCUUCUGAGAUAAAUGUGAACCUUUAUAAAAGAGAAAUGAGACUCUUCUAUAGAUUCAUUUCUCAAGAUAUCGUAUGGUAGAGCUUCCACUGAUUGCUCAGACCAUAACAUCUCUAAAAUUGUAAUGCUACUUGGAGAAAGUACAGUAAAGCAGAAAAAGAAAAGAAAAGAAAGAAAGGAGGGAGGGAAAUAGGGGAGGGAAAAAAGAAAGAUCAGGCCAGCUUCAUAAACUAUCAGCAGAGGGAAUCCGGGCUCUUCUCUCUCUCUUUGUGCUCUCAGAAGCAUGAGUAGGUAUAAGUCUCAUGGUAGGGGACUCUGUCUGUGUGUGUUUCUUUUCUCAACCAUUAUGAUAUUCAGCUGCAGUACUCUUUAUUCCUAAUUGUGUUUGAGACAGCAGUUUCUUGAGGUUUAUAAUCAAGUGUAUGGAAGUAUAAUUUUAAUAAGAAUAAUAGAUGUGUAUUCAUAUUUCUCAUAAUUAAAAUGUUUCAAAAUGCAUUUCCUCAAAAUUUGUCACCAGACUUUAUUUACUUGUAAUGACUUGAAUGCAAGCAGGUUAAAUAUGCACUCUUGCUUCUCACAUAUAAUAAAGGAAAUUAUUUAGAGCAUUCCUGAUAACUGAUUUUUCUCAUAAUAUGAAUAUUUUAUUAAUAUGUUAGAUUAGUUUAGUUCGAUUAACUAUGGUAUAAUUAAUCUUUAUUGCUGGAAAUAUGCAGUGUGAUUAAGCAUUCCUGAAGAGUCAAACUUGCAUUCCACACAUGAGCUUUAAAACAGAAUGUCUUUCCAAAUAAAUAGAUGUUCAAUAUUAAUAAUUAUACAUCUAAGCACCUUAAUCCAAAGAUCCAUGUACUAUUAUUUCAAAAAUAUCCAAGGUCACUAAGCAACAGUCUAACAGAUUAAUUAAUUUCACACAUUAUAAAAACAGUUGCUUAAUAAAAUAUAGGUAACUUAAGAAAAUAAGAGGGUUUGAUAUUGAAAAUGAAUUAAAAAUGUCAGAGAUCUACAAGCCAAUAAAGAAUGAUAUAAUACAUGUACAUGACUUUAAAAAUAGGAAAGAAAGAGAAAUGUAUGUGUAUAGAAUCUGGAGACUUGGACAAAGGGAAUUUGAACCUACAUUUAAGAUACCUGAGAAUACAAUGAGUCGUCUAAAUAAGUUAUGGGGAGUAGAGGAUAAGGCCGAAUUUGUACAAUCUAGAAGAUGUGUGACUUGAAAAGAAUUGUCAUAUUUAAGAUGAAAUUACAUUGCUGUGGCAACACUUUCAGAAACACAAAAUGAACAAAAAGACAAAAAACUCUCUUUGCCUCUUCUCUUCUUGAAGCUAAGUUUUCCUAUUUCCCAUGAAGACACGACGAUACCUUGUUGUGGAUCAGAGCCAGCAUCUAAAUGUGUGGAUUUGGUGUUGACAGGUAUCAGCUUAACUGGGAAUACAUGGACCUUGCAUGGUACUUGGCCACCAAGGAAUUUUUCUACCAUGUUCUCAGUAUGAAGGUUUUGUUUGUAAAUCCAGGUUCCUGAAUUCUGUUUGCCCCUUACCUUGCAGAGAAUAAACUGGAUAAGUUGUUACUUUUUAAACCAAGAUGAGAGAGAGAGAGAGACACACACACACACACACACACUCAUAUAUAUGUAAGGUGUGUAAGUACAACAGAGCAUGGUGAUGGCUUCAGGAUGGAAAACCUGCCACACCAUGACAGUCCAAGUAAAAUCAAGAGCUGAAUCUUUCAAUAACCCCAAGACACUAAAAUCAUAUUCGUUCAUUACUUACAUGACCAACCAAUUCUCUUGACCCUGUAUGUAGAUUAAGAAUUCUGACCCAAAAAUACCCUCAUGCUAUGAAUAGAGUUUAUGGUGACUUAUGAGGAAAGCAAUAUAAAAUAAAUAUGUGUCAUGUUUUAACUUAUUCCCUUAUUUUUCCAUAGUUAUUUCUGAUUCUAGAGAUGAGUGCCUAGAGAAUUAUAAUCAGAGAACCUGCCUCUGGCAUCUAAGGAAGCAGAUGCAGAAACCUACAGCCAAACAUUGGGCAGGGACAGAAUCCAGGUUGGAAGUUUCCAUUGGGUCCCUUCCUUUGAAGCUCAGAGAACCUCAAGAAAAACAAGAGAAGUAAUAUGGGAAGCAAGAAGGGUUGAGGAUACCAGGAGAACAUGGCCUACAGAAUCAGCUAAACAGAGGUCAGGAGGAAUCAGAAAGUUUGAGGUGGCGAGUGUGGAACCCCCGUGAGUCUAUGCUAGAUUCUGUUUGUUUAUGUUAUGGCUGUUGGAUUGAUGUUUUUGGAGGACUCCUGACAGUGUGCUUGGAGGUGUCUCUGACUCUUUUGCCUUCUACUGAGAUCCUUUUGCUCCUGCUGGGUUGCCUCUUCCAACCUUGAUGUGAUGGUUUAUGCCUACUCUUACUGCAUGCUGUUAUGUUGGACUUGUUGAUGAUUUUAGGAGUCGUGCUCUGUUUUGGGUAGAUAUGGCAAAGGAGUGGAUCUGGGAAGAGAGAAAGUGAGAAGAACCAGGAGGAGUGGAAGGAGGGAACGCUACAGUUGAGAUGUAUUUUAUGAGAGAAGAAUAAAUUACACCUUUGAAUUUUUCUUCACUUCUUCACAAUGAAAUAUUUAUUUUACUUUCACAUCACCCAAUUAUCUUCCAAGAUGAGUGGAUUAUUCUUAAACUUCUGUACUAAUUAUAAUUUAUUCUCAGAAACUUAAAUCUUAUAAUUUGCCAUUAUAAAUUUCACAUUACUUCCUUUUUAAAACAUUAUUAGCAUCGUAUGCAUACUGUAAAUGAAUAGCAUUUUCAGAAUCCUGUUUUAUGUUUACAUGGGUGCAAGUGUGUAUCAGUCUUAGGAGGUCAACAAAAAGCUACAUAUCUAAAAGAACGGAAACUUGGAAGUUUCUUGAGUAGUCUCACAAGGUUUCUAGAGAAGGAAAAUGAUGACAUGGGGAUAUGUCAAAGGUUGAGCUGUUUGGAAGUGCAGAGAAAGCUCCAGUUUUACAGCUCUCAAGGUGAGAUAUUUUUUGCAGUGAAGCAGCUGCUUCUCAUUCACUCUUCUCCUUGUAACUGAACUCUCCCACACUCCCCUGUUAUUAAAACUCAAUGGUUCAUAUAGUUGGGCUUUAUUGCAAUAUUACAUUGAACUGUUGUGAGUAUUGGUUCCCUUUCUAAGGUGAGUAGACAUAUGUGUUGCUUCUCCACAAAAAAAGGCUGCAAUAAAUCCAUCUGUCACUUCAAUUCUUUACAGGUUAUUUUAUACACAAGGUUAGAAUUAUGAACUUAUUUUAAAUGGAUAAAGUGAAAUUUGAACAUGUGACUUCAUACACAGAUUUAAAACUUUGAUACAAUAUCCAUGACCAGGAAAUCAAUCAAAACAGAAGAUUAAAAUUUGCAAUAUGUAGUUCUAACUUAUUGACUCAGAAAUAUACUUUUGCAACAAAAGGUUAACACUCUUAAAUAAAAUCGCUUGAGAAUUAGGUUUUAAUAAUAUUUUUCAACUAAAAAACAAUUUUGUACAGUUUCUCAAAAUAUGAGCUCUGUGGUAUCAUAAAUACACUUUUAUAUAUGGCUAAUUGUGUUGUUGUUUGGCCUGAAGUUAUCUGCAUUUUGAUGCUAAUUCCACUGCCCCAAGGAAGGCUGCCUAGUCCUGUACUCAGGACUCACGUGACUUCACCAGAACCUUCUCCCCAUUUAAUUUGUAAAAUACAGGUGAGAGCAGGUACGGGAUAGAAGGAGGCCUGUCACUGGAGGAGAAGGAAGAAUGGUUGGGAGAAAAGUUUGAAGGAAGAGGAGGAGACUGGAAUGGAGGGGGGAGAGACAGGAGGAAGAGGGAGAGAAGUCGAGGCAGACAGUGUGGCAGGUGACAUUAAGAUUCCAUCCAGUACCUUUAAAAGUCCUUAAGAAUGUUCUUAAGGGAUGGAUGUGUAUUGGGCUUUGAAUGUUUAUGUGGGCAAUUAUAUCUUAUCAAAUGGGCCAAAGGUUAUUGUGUUGUGUGUUCUUUCAUGUAGUGAUUUAAGUGUAAGUGUGCGGUGGCUAGUCUGGGCCGCGGCAGAUUUGGGAUGUGUGUUGCUGACAUGGAAACCUGCUUUGGGAACUAGAUAGGUAGAGAGAUGGCUGUCAGGCUCAGAGAGAGGCCUUCAAUAGUGUGAUAGGGAAUGGAGCAAUGUGGGUGAGAGGCUUUGCUGACUGAGACUUAAUGUAUCUAGCACAUAUCUUGGGGUACUGCGGUGCCAGACCGAGUGCGGAUAAAAGAUACUUUUUCAUUUUUUUUUAUAUUUUUACAACAACAUAAUGAUAAUUAGAUAUCGUUAACUCCAGAAGGUAAAAUAUUUCUAUAUUAUGCUUACUUCUCAAAAGCAAAUACUCUAUGCCAUUUUAACCGUUUCUUAUCUGUCAUGACUUGUACAUUUUUGAACUCUCAAAGGAAGAGCUCAUCCUAUAUCUGUUCUUAAGGGCAAAAACACCCACAUCUAUAAUAUAUUCUUAGGCUGUUCACCUGAAGAACAUUUCAUAUUAAAACACUUUAUUUAAGAAAAACACUUAUAAGUAAUCAGAUACAAUUAUUAAUAUCUUUAUACAGAGGUGAAGAUCCAUGUUUUUAGAUGGGUGUGAUGAUAUAUUCUUUAUAUCUUAGUAGUAAGGAAUUGGAAAUUACAGGCUAGCUUAUGGCAUAGCAGUAACUUGUUAAAAAAUGCAGCAACAGUGGUUCACAUCUGUAACCCCUCUGAAAACAAACAGGCAGAUCACUGUGAUUUCUAGGGCAGCAUUGUCUAUAUCUUAUUUUCUAGUGCAGCAAAGCCCACACAGUAAGCUUCUGUCUGAAAAAAAAAUAGUGUGUGCAUCCAUUUUUAAUAUAUCAUUGUUCUUAUCAUGCAAAGCAAGUAAUGCAAUAUGUAAGUCAUUUUCCUUUUAAUUAAUAUGAAAAGGUUUAAAUAGUCAAAAUGUUAAGUGGAUUGAAGGAAAUGAAAAAUACUUUCUUUUACCUGACUGGGAGUAAGGAUGAGGACUGCAUAGUGGAUAUGCCUUCUAUGGUUACCUCUAAAUAAAAUUCCCUCUUUCAUUAAGCAUGCAAAUUGUCACCAGUGGAAGUUGUGCUAAACUACUCUGUUAGAUAAACUGUGAUCACGUCAUCACAUAUGAAAACAUACAUUGCACUAGAUUGAGAUUUCACUUGUACUCCUUUGACCUUCCUGCCGGUAGUAGCCAUGGAGAUCAUAUGAGAUUCCUCACUUGCUUUAUCUGCUCCAAAGAGCUGGUGCUCAUACUACUACAUCACAAGGAGAAUUUUUGCAAAUUUCUUGUUCAUUAAGGACAGAGAUUAAGAUAUCUUAAUCACGUAUUAAACAGCACCAAGAAGUAGUUAUUGGCAUGUAUUUGAAGGCCACAUUGAGGCAGCAUUUUCCUACCUUUAUUGACCCUGUGGGUUUUUGUUUUUAAGUCUUUGUUGCUUCAACAACAGUGACUUGUACAUCUAGUCUCAGGUUUCAGUUUCCUUCACUGAAAAUUUGUUUUUACUCUUCGAACAUUUAUGCAUUAACUAUAACAAUGAGCUAAUGUCAUGCAUUUCCUCUUUUAUACACAUGGAUGUUUUCUGAGGGGUUCAGCAAGAUCCUUACCAAUACAGAUGCAGAUGCUUGCAGGCAAAUAAGGGGACACCGAUGGAGGAGUUAGGGGAAGGACAGAAGGAGCUGGAGGGAUUUGCAACCCACAGGAAGAACAACAGCAUCAGUUAACCAGAGUGCACAGAGUUCCCAAGGACUAAACCACCAACCAAAGAGUACAUAAGGAGGGACCCAGGGCUCCAGCUGCAUGUGUAGCAGGAGAUAGCCUUAUCUGGCAUCAAUGGGAGGGGAGGUUCUUGGUUCUGUGAAGGCUUGACACCUCAGUGUAGCAGAAUGCUAGGCAUGGGGCAGGAUUGGAAGGUUGGGUGGGAGAGCACUCUCUUGGAGGCAGGAGAGAGAA